rnacentral:rRNA from 1 species
AGCACGGGGGCAACCCUGGUGGCGAGUGGCGAACGGGUGAGUAAUACAUCGGAACGUGUCCUGUAGUGGGGGAUAGCCCGGCGAAAGCCGGAUUAAUACCGCAUACGCUCUACGGAGGAAAGGGGGGGAUCUUAGGACCUCCCGCUACAGGGGCGGCCGAUGGCAGAUUAGCUAGUUGGUGGGGUAAAGGCCUACCAAGGCGACGAUCUGUAGCUGGUCUGAGAGGACGACCAGCCACACUGGGACUGAGACACGGCCCAGACUCCUACGGGAGGCAGCAGUGGGGAAUUUUGGACAAUGGGCGAAAGCCUGAUCCAGCAAUGCCGCGUGUGUGAAGAAGGCCUUCGGGUUGUAAAGCACUUUUGUCCGGAAAGAAAACCUCCGCCCUAAUAUGGUGGGGGGAUGACGGUACCGGAAGAAUAAGCACCGGCUAACUACGUGCCAGCAGCCGCGGUAAUACGUAGGGUGCAAGCGUUAAUCGGAAUUACUGGGCGUAAAGCGUGCGCAGGCGGUCCGCUAAGACAGAUGUGAAAUCCCCGGGCUUAACCUGGGAACUGCAUUUGUGACUGGCGGGCUAGAGUAUGGCAGAGGGGGGUAGAAU